ACCAAGAUUAUAUUCUUUUGGGGACUGAAAUCUAUUUUUAGGCAAAUUCCUCCUUUUGUUUCAUGAUGCAAACAUGGCUUCUGGUCUCAUGAGCGAACACACUCUAUAGGAAGAGAUCAAAAC